UAGGGAAUCUUCGGCAAUGGGGGCAACCCUGACCGAGCAACGCCGCGUGAGUGAAGAAGGUUUUCGGAUCGUAAAGCUCUGUUGUAAGAGAAGAACGUGUGUGAGAGUGGAAAGUUCACACAGUGACGGUAACUUACCAGACAGGGACGGCUAACUACGUGCCAGCAGCCGCGGUAAUACGUAGGUCCCGAGCGUUGUCCGGAUUUAUUGGGCGUAAAGCGAGCGCAGGCGGUUUAAUAAGUCUGAAGUUAAAGGCAGUGGCUUAACCAUUGUUCGCUUUGGAAACUGUUAAACUUGAGUGCAGAAGGGGAGAGUGGAAUUCCAUGUGUAGCGGUGAAAUGCGUAGAUAUAUGGAGGAACACCGGUGGCGAAAGCGGCUCUCUGGUCUGUAACUGACGCUGAGGCUCGAAAGCGUGGGGAGCAAACAGG
rnacentral:rRNA from 1 species